GAUGAACGCUGGCGGCGUGCCUAAUACAUGCAAGUCGAGCGAACGGACGAGAAGCUUGCUUCUCUGAUGUUAGCGGCGGACGGGUGAGUAACACGUGGAUAACCUACCUAUAAGACUGUGAUAACUUCGGGAAACCGGAGCUAAUACCGGAUGAUAUUUUGAACCGCAUGGUUCAAAAGUGAAAGACGGUCUUGCUGUCACUUAUAGAUGGAUCCGCGCUGCAUUAGCUAGUUGGUAAGGUAACGGCUUACCAAGGCAACGAUGCAUAGCCGACCUGAGAGGGUGAUCGGCCACACUGGAACUGAGACACGGUCCAGACUCCUACGGGAGGCAGCAGUAGGGAAUCUUCCGCAAAGGGCGAAAGCCUGACGGAGCAACGCCGCGUGAGUGAUGAAGGUCUUCGGAUCGUAAAACUCUGUUAUUAGGGAAGAACAUAUGUGUAAGUAACUGUGCACAUCUUGACGGUACCUAAUCAGAAAGCCACGGCUAACUACGUG
rnacentral:rRNA from 1 species